GACGAACGCUGGCGGCGUGCUUAACACAUGCAAGUCGAACGGAAAGGCCCUGCUUUUGUGGGGUUCUCGAGUGGCGAACGGGUGAGUAACACGUGAGUAGCCUGCCCUUGACUUUGGGAUAACUUCAGGAAACUGGGGCUAAUACCGUAUAGGAGCUCCUGCUGCAUGGUGGGGGUUGGAAAGUUUCGGCGGUUGGGGAUGGAUUCGCGGCUUAUCAGCUUGUUGGUGGGGUAGUGGCUUACCAAGGCUUUGACGGGUAGCCGGCCUGAGAGGGUGGACGGGGACAUUGGGACUGAGAUACGGCGCAGACUCGUACGGGAGGCAGCAGUGGGGAAUAUUGCACAAUGGGCGGAAGCCUGAUGAAGCAACGCCGCGUGCGGGAUGACGGCCUUCGGGUUGUAAACCGCUUUAGCCUGUGACGAAGCGUGAGUGACGGUAAUGGGUAAAGAAGCACCGGCUAACUACGUG
rnacentral:rRNA from 1 species